rnacentral:rRNA from 1 species
UACGUAGGGUCCGAGCGUUGUCCGGAAUUAUUGGGCGUAAAGAGCUCGUAGGCGGUUUGUCGCGUCUGCUGUGAAAUCCCGAGGCUCAACCUCGGGUCUGCAGUGGGUACGGGCAGACUGGAGUGCGGUAGGGGAGAAUGGAAUUCCUGGUGUAGCGGUGGAAUGCGCAGAUAUCAGGAGGAACACCGAUGGCGAAGGCAGAUCUCUGGGCCGUAACUGACGCUGAGGAGCGAAAGCAUGGGGAGCGAACAGG